rnacentral:rRNA from 1 species
CUGGCUCAGGAUUAACGCUGGCGGCAUGCCUAAUACAUGCAAGUCGAAUGGUUAGCUUGCUAGACCAUGGCGAACGGGUGAGUAACACGUAGGUAACCUACCUUAAGGACGAGGAUAACCUUUGGAAACGAAGGAUAAUACUGGAUAGGACAUUACAAAGCACAUGCUUAAAUGUUUAAAGGAGCAAUCCACCAUAAGAGGGGCCUGCGGCGCAUUAGCUAGUUGGUGAGGUAAAGGCCCACCAAGGCGAUGAUGCGUAGCUGGACUGAGAGGUUGAACAGCCACAAUGGGACUGAGAACGGCCCAUACUCCUACGGGAGGCAGCAGUAGGGAAUUUUCGGCAAUGGGCAAAAGCCUGACCGAGCAAUGCCGCGUGAUCGAAGAAGUAUUUCGGUAUGUAAAGAUCUUUUAUCGGGGAAGAAAGGACAGAUUGACUGAACCUGAUGAAUAAGCUCCGGCUAACUACGUGCCAGCCGCCGC